rnacentral:rRNA from 1 species
AUUCCAGCUCCAAUAGCGUAUAUUUAAGUUGUUGCAGUUAAAAAGCUCGUAGUUGGAUUUUGGGUGCGGCAGGCCGGUCCGCCGUUUCGGUGUGCACUGGCAGGCGGCAUCUUUCUGUCGAGGACGCGCUCUCGCCUUUACUGGUGGGACGCGGAGUCGGCGCAGUUACUUUGAAAAAAUUAGAGUGUUCAAAGCGGGCCUACGCUUGAAUAUAUUAGCAUGGAAUAACACUAUAGGACUCCUGUCCUAUUCUGUUGGUCUUCGGGAUGGGAGUAAUGAUUAACAGGGACAGUCAGGGGCACUCGUAUUCCGCCGAGAGUGGUGAAAUUCUCAGACCAGCGGAAGACGAACCACUGCGAAAGCAUUUGCCAGGGAUGUUUUCAUUG